UUUUAUGUUCCCCUUCCUGCUGUGGCCCUCAUUACAGUGGAACUGAACUAGAGGAUACUCAAGGAAUCAGAGGCACACCUGGCCCCGAGAAUGAGACACUUAACAGUUUUUUUCCCAGACUACAGAGGAGGUGUGGCUGCAGGGGAAAGCAAGCAGGCAUGCUCCCUCCUGACGCUAGUUCUAAGGGGACAUGUAAAGGAUUUGGGCCAAGUUUGUAUAGGAAUGUCCUGGGAGGCCUCCUGCAAGCCAGGGAAGGCUGAAAGAACUAACAGCUUCUCUGACAUGGAGGGCUGGUCAGGCUCUGCAGUGUCACUGCUUGUGUUUGUAUCAUUCUUUCACCACUGAGUUACUGUGUGACUGUGGACAAAUUUCUUAACUUCUCUGAGCCUUAGAUUUCUCAACUCUAACAUGAAGAUUUUCCUAUAUUUUAAAAAGUUAUGAUGAGUCAAUGAGAGAAUUAACGUAAAGCGCCUGGCAUAAAGAAAGCCCUCAAGAAAUGAUAGUAUUAGUGAACAUCUUGUUGCCGUCCUAGGCUCGAAUAGACUGUCCCUAAACACUCUGUUCCCACCGCUGUGAACAGUGGCAGCAUAAUUCUUUUGCAGAAUACUUCCAUUAUUUGCUUAUGUCCCUAAUGGGACCCAAAUGCCAAACUUGUAAGUCCAUCCUGUUCUACUAAAAGGCAGGGGCACAGAUAGAAAGCUGCUGAGAGACUACACUCUGAGGUCAGCCUUGACCCUGAGGCUCAUCUGGCUCUCCCUGUUCCUCUACAGCCAGGUAAGAGAGAACAAGAUCUCUUUCUGCCUUCACUGUCCUAGGCUCCAGUAGUGCAGUGGGAGGAAUGGUCUUUGGAAAAUAAUGUUCCUUUUUCUUGCUUUUUUUUAAUUUCUGAGAUAAGAUCUUCCUAUGUUGUUCAGGCUGGUCUCAAACUCUUAAGCUCAAGUGAUCCUCCUGCCUCAGCCUCCUGAGUAGCUGGGAUUAUAGGCACAUACCACCAAACCCUAUUUGGAAAACUUUUUUUUUUUUUUUCCUGACAGAAAACCUUUUCUAAGACAAUCUUAAAACGAGAAUACAAACAAUAGUUUUUUGUUUGUUUUGUUUUUUUUUGAUAUGGAGUCUCGCUCUUGCUGUCUAGGCUGGAGUGCAAUGGUGCACAAUUUUGGCUCACUGCAACCUCCCCCUCCCAGGUUCAAGCAAUUCUCCUUCCUCAGCCUCCCGAGUAGCUGGGAUUACAGGUGUGCACCACCACGCCCGACUAAUUUUUGUAUUUUUAGUAGAGACGGGGUUUCACCAUGUUGGCCAGCCUGGUUUUGAACUCCUGACCUCAAGUGAUCCGCCUGCCUCGGCCUCCCAAAGUGCUGGGAUUACAGGUGUGAGCCACCACGCCCGGCCUACAAACAAUAGGUUUUAAUGUGCAACUAUAUCUGCAUUAACAAUAGGACAGAGAAACUAAAUGCAGCAAGAUGGGUGCAGUGGAGCAGCUUCUUUGCAAAUCUGGUGUCAGGUAUGGUGCUUAUCACAUCUUGUGGGCACACAGGAGGCAGCUUCAGUUUUGAGUUGUUGGAUGUUCCAGAUUAUAGAGUUUAACGCUGUGUCAUUAUGAGUCUUGAAAUAACUGGGCCCAAAUGUACUUUACUCACUAAAAUAUAAGUAAUGGCCACAAGUAUUUUUUUCCUCUUUCAAAAUCUGUCUGAUUUCAUAGGAAGAGGACAAGUUAUAUAAAUAAAGCAAUUAGUCUAAUAAGAUUUUCUUCCAGGAGCCAGAGAACACUGUAUUUUCUGCCUAAUGGUUGGAUGUGGCUGUUGGGCAAACAAAAUGACCUUCUCCAUUCAUUCAAUUUCAGACCUUAAACAAAGGGCAGAGAGAGAGUUAGCAGCUAAUGCUGGCAAGUUAGAAGGCAAGGAAACUAUGCCACAGAACCUUCCUGCCAAUAUUCCAGAGCGAUGAUCCUAAAUGGGGAAAAGGCAUUUAAUGGCUCUAGAGAGGGUCCUGGGGAGAAAGGGCAGAGAAAGAGCACAGGACACAGAAUAGAGUGCGGUUCACAGCCAUGACGCCCAACCUCGCCAUGACCAUAGACCCUAAUGGCCACCUGGGGCUGACGAGAAGCACACCACGCAUGCGUGUUGCAGGCGCGUGUCUGUCUGAAGGAUGCUGCUGGCACACGCAGAUUCUGACCCAGUUAUGAAGACCAACCUUCUCCUUUUAUACCCCUCCUGCCAGCUGUUGGGGAGAUCUGGAGACACCCCGUGCUAGCAGCACCCUCCAGCUCAGGGCAGUGGUCAUGCAGGGAUGUGGCUGCACAGUAUGGGAGAGACACCAGGCUUGGACCUGGCAUUGAUAAGUCACUUUUCCAUAGGAGAAGGCAGUGACAGACAUUUAAAUGCAAGAUGGGGCUGAUGACAGUCCACUGGGGGUGGGAUGGGGCUUGGUAGGGUGGAAAGGACAGACAACAGACUUCCUGAAUCUCUCUGGGGAAACAAACUGUAAUCUUCCCAAGUCUAGGUUCUUAUACCGAAUGGUGCUGCUAUGGAAUACUGGACGAGCCAAGAGAAGGAGAGGUGCUCUAUCCUGCUAAGAUUGGAUCUGGAUGGAAUUUGCUGGGGAGGGCUGGAACUAGUUACCUGCACACUCAUGGCAAUGGACCACCCUGCCAGGUAUCCAGACUGGUUUGAGAAGGGGGAAGCUGCAGGAGUGGAGAGAGUAGAGAAUGAUACCGUUUGAUACAAGUUACAGCUUAAGAAGUGGUAGCCAUUACUACCAUAUAUGUAUGCUGCAUACUCCUUUGUUGCAUAGGCAUUAAGUGUUCCAAAUUCAUUGGAUAUAAUCCUUAAAGCAACUGUGGUUAUUAUUCCUAAUUUAAAGAUUAGGAAACUGAGAAACAGACCCAUCUGUAACCUGUCACACAGUUUGGGAGUGCUACAGUCAGGAUUUGAACUCAGGCCUUUGCUCUCAGUCCCUACGCUAGACUUCCCCUUGAGGCUACCAAUCUUCUUAUUUGGAUUCUGGGUUAAGAUACUUGGACCGACAGGUGAGGAGAAUCAUUACACAGUUUACUUUACUUUCACCUAAUAAAUGACACUCAGGACUUCAUCUGAUGAGAAUUCACGCACUCUGUGUGUUUCCUUGUGUUGUACUUCUUUGCUGGCUCAUGUGACAUUCUUUUUCCUCUGAUUCUAUGGAAGGAGAAGGGCUGAGAAGUACAUACAGUGCAGGUGGUAAGUGAAGGGAAAGAAAAGUAAUAGGGCUGGAAAAAAUCCGAGGCAUCCUUCAGCCUGACACCUGGUUUUAUUUCAAACUACUGAGGGUCUUUUUGCUGGAAAAGAUAGAAGGACACUUAAAAUUUUCAAAUACUCAAAGAGCUGUCGGCCAGAAGAGGGAUUAGAUGAGAAAUAAUUUCAGGGAGAAAUAAGUUCAGGGAGUGGAAGUUAAAGGCAGCAUAUCUAAAUACAUCAUAAGAAAAACUAAAACACGUAAUGUGGUUGUAAUACUCAGUACCAUUAAGUGAUGAGAGUGCUCCCUGGCAGGAACAGCAUUGUGUCAUUGAAAACACGUGAAGCAGAGCCGGACUGGCCUGUCCGGCGUCAGGUGGGUGGGUGGCCACACCAGUGGCCUCCACAGUCUGUGCCCAUAUCAAGGGACUCUUUUCUUUCUUCUAUUUUUGCAUUUAUCACUAAAAACUCUGGGAGGAAAAAAAAAAAGCUGGCAUUUUGAAGAUUGUCCUUCCCUCAGCUACAGAUGCUUUGUUUUCCUUGAGUCUGAAAUGGGCUUUUCUUUAUUAAAAAUAAAGUGAAAUAAACUUGCUCAAGCUGAUCUCCCUGAGCCAGUGAUGGAGGAAGUGGGCAUGUGGGUAUAUUUGAGAAUGCCGGUGGGUCAGUGCCUUACCUGGCAGGUUGUAACUGACCAGCAUCAGAAUAUUCUGUGCGAUAUCUCCAGAGACACACUACACAGUGUACUUUAUUUUCUCUCGAUGAAACUCAGUACACUAAAUGCCCUAUACUGUUCCUCUAGCGGGCAGGGGCAGUGCUCAAAUCCGUGGUGGGUUUGCUGGCUGUGUUUUCCAUGCUGUCUGUGACUGGAAUCCAGCAGCCCUUCAUAAGCACAUACUCAAUUCCUUUCCAAGGCUCCCAACACCCUGCCUUUCCUGGGUUUUAUAAUCAUUAUUGCUUCCUUGUAUCUUCUUUCUGGUCAUGGGACAAUGUUGAUUAACCGUAGGUAAAGGUUAGAGGCAAGUCUCGGAGAUGGAAACCCAAGGUCAUGCAGUUGUGCCAAUGCCCGUUGUUAGACAACAUGCUUCUAUUCCUGACAAACCAGUCUCAAGCAGCUCUGACUGAUGGGGCGGAUUUCAAUGCUCUCCAAUGACUUCCAAGUGUUAAGAAAAAGCUGCUGCUACCCUACAUGCCCAAGCUAUACGAACUACUUUUUUCCAGGCAAACAGGAUUCCUGCAGACAAUGCUCGGAUGAUGAAAUCUGAGAGGCUGGAUGACAGAGAAACCCACAUGCAUACACACACACUUUAUAAAGCUUAGGAACAAAAGCACUUUAUAAUCUCCUUCUGAUGCCAAGUUUACAGUGCUUCCAGAGUCAACAAAGGUGACUCAGGAGAGUGCACCCAGCUCCUUUCAGCACUUAUUUAGCUCAGCCACCUGUGUGAGCUCAAAGACAAGGGUGCCGACUUCACCUGAGUAGACCCUGAGUCACGUGAUUUCUUGCUGGAGAUGAUUCAGCAAAGGAGCACUAACCUCUGAGACAAGGCUUCAGCUUCCUGAGCUCUGCUGACUCGCCUGGGACUUCCCUAAGCCCUUCUGGACCUAGAUGAGGGCAAAACUCAGUGGAACCUCAGAAGCCCUAAAAAAAUGAUAGACUUUCUUUUGUCUCAUCAUUAUCAGCAUUUUGGGAUGAUUUAGUCAGCCUAAGAAACCUGAUGGCAUGUUGACACCAGAAAACAGGUAGUAUAUAUUCCCAAACCAAGUUAAAAAAAAUUAAGAAAUAACAGCUGGAAUGCCUUUUAUUUUUUCUUUACACAAAUGUGUGUGUCAUCGUCAUAUGCCUUUUUUGUGUUAAUUUCUGAGGAUCCUGCCAGUGUGAAUACUCCAUUCUCUGCGAGUCGCAGGUCAGGCUGCUUUUGAGGCAAGCACACGUUAAGUAUUGAGCAGAAACAUUUGAAGCAAAGAUGAGAAAGACAGAAGGGGAAGCAAGAAAAAUAGUCUUCCCAGUGUGCCUAUUUGGGUGCAUAUAAAGUUACUUUUAGAUGUGCGAUUACUGGUUAAUGAUUUGGGGAAUUCUUUUCAAGUAGAAAUCCUGGGCUAAAAACUAAGUGUGCUCAAGCUACCCCCGCACCCACUGAUUCUGCACUCCAUGGGAAAAGUUCUCACAAGCAAGUCCUUUGUCCACUACCCACGUCUAUAGGAAAUGUUUGAACAGCUAUACACAAAGAACUCACAAGUCCACAACCUCGGGGGUGUUGCGGGUGGAGAGGGCAGUGGUAAAGGUGAUGACAGGGAGGGCCUGUGGGGACAGUAAUAUUAGAUUAGUGGUCAGAAGAUGCUGGAGCCUGCCUUGCCAGUCACACACUUUUAGAGGAAUGCUGGACAGUACACACCCUCCCCAACCCUGAAUGUAGGCCCUCGCUGACAUCACGCCAGAUGAAGCCCUGAGGUCUUUAACAUCUGUAACUCUAUGGCAUGUAACAUAAACAGGUGUCUGACCAGUUUCCCCAGAUAUAGAAUAAUAAUAAUACCUUUCAUUUAAAAAGGUAAGAGGGAAUUCAACAAGCUUUCCUUCUUAAAUAAAUCUCCAUCUCAGGAAGCCAUGGAAAGAUGCCCCUCCCACACUAAGACUGUAGAGAGAGGCACUGUGAAGGUCUGGCUUGGAGAUCUCAGCUCUUCCUGCCUCUCAGGGGGAAAGGGCAGAUCCAGCAGGCCGGGAAAGGAUCUCCCAGGGUCCCAAGGAGGCAGCAUGGGGCAAAGUCCAACAGUGAGGAUUCUCUCCUUCUCUGGUCUCUUUUCUGUUAAAAAUGCUUCUUUGGGGUACCCUUCAUUACUACCCUGGAGGUUGAAGGACACUUCUUGAGAAGGCAUAGAUACUCUUCAGGUAUGCUGAAGAAAUGAGUUGUGCUAAAACCACUGGUUAAUUUUGUCUGUGGCAAAAAAUCAUGAGGGUGACAUAGACUCCCAGGCCAGGAACCCGAGACUGGAUUUAAGAGAUGUGGCCAGGAUCCACAGGGGAGCUUGUAUGUGGCUCACAUCAUUAGCUCUUUCUGUAUAUUUGUAUUGUAAACCAUUUCCCUUCAUUUGUGAAGAUGGAGAUCACUUUUUCUAUACAGGCUAGAAAUGUUUCUUCAUACACACACGCUGAGCUUGUUUAUAAAAGAUAUUCAUUUAUAUGGUGGUUUUAACAACUUUUCCAUGUGGAAAUUUUAGACGACAGUAACACAGACCCUCAUGUACUCAUCACUCAGCCUUGAUGGUUACUGACACAUGCCCAAUAUUGUUUCAUCUGUUUCUCCCCACAACUCCUGGAUUAAUUUGAAAGAAAUCCUAGAAGUCACUUAAUCAGCAAAUACUCCAGUCUGUUGGUCCACUCCUUAUACAAUAGCCAGGGUGAUCUUUUACACAUGAAGUAGUGAUUGCAUCACUCAUGCUUGCUUGGAAUUCUUCAAAGACUUACGUUGGCACUUCAGAUAAAGUGUAGACUCCUUCGCGUGACCUAGGAUGUCCUUUGGGCUCUCACUGUUCCCUCAGCCUCCUCACCUGAAGCUCUCACUGCCCCACCCCUUUGCUCAUCACACUCCAACCCGCCUGCCAUUGAGCUACUCAAAUGGACUGCUCCUUUCUCAAGACCUCUGCACACUUUCAAGCCUCAUUUCUCUUCAGCCUUUAUUAAAUGUCAUCUCCUCCAGAUGGCCUCCUUUGGUGGCCCAGGUCAUGUUAGAUCUGCCUGUUAAAUAAAUGCUUUCAAAGAACCUUGGAUUUUAUUUUUUUCUCAUUAAAUUGUAAGUAUAUAGUUAAUGUUUAAUUUCUCUUUAAAAUUUCUUUCUCCCUCCCCACCCCAACUGGACUGUAAAUUCCACAAGAGCAGGAUCAUGUUUGCCUCACUCAUCACUGAAUUCCUGGCACCUCGCACAGAACCUGAGUAUUGCAGAACCCAUGCCUGCUAUGCACAUAUGCAUUGAUAUAAGCCUAUUAUAUAAAUAAACAGAUCAAUAUCUAUUUGGCUAUUUACACCCCACCUAUAUGUCUUUGGUCAAGAUUUAAAAGCUCCUGGAAAAACAAAAAUACAAUUUCCUUAGGAAUAAAAGCCUACCACAGCCUUGUGUAAAAUUAAGCACUUAAUAACCUUGAUGAUG
rnacentral:lncRNA from 1 species